AGAGUUUGAUCCUGGCUCAGGAUGAACGCUGGCGGCGUGCUUAACACAUGCAAGUCGAACGAAGCACCUUGAUUUGAUUCUUCGGAUGAAGAUCCUGGUGACUGAGUGGCGGACGGGUGAGUAACGCGUGGGUAACCUGCCUCAUACAGGGGGAUAACAGUUAGAAAUGACUGCUAAUACCGCAUAAGACCACAGCACCGCAUGGUGCAGGGGUAAAAACUCCGGUGGUAUGAGAUGGACCCGCGUCUGAUUAGGUAGUUGGUGGGGUAACGGCCUACCAAGCCGACGAUCAGUAGCCGACCUGAGAGGGUGACCGGCCACAUUGGGACUGAGACACGGCCCAAACUCCUACGGGAGGCAGCAGUGGGGAAUAUUGCACAAUGGGGGAAACCCUGAUGCAGCGACGCCGCGUGAGCGAUGAAGUAUUUCGGUAUGUAAAGCUCUAUCAGCAGGGAAGAAAAUGACGGUACCUGACUAAGAAGCACCGGCUAAAUACGUGCCAGCAGCCGCGGUAAUACGUAUGGUGCAAGCGUUAUCCGGAUUUACUGGGUGUAAAGGGAGCGUAGACGGAGUGGCAAGUCUGAUGUGAAAACCCGGGGCUCAACCCCGGGACUGCAUUGGAAACUGUCAAUCUGGAGUACCGGAGAGGUAAGCGGAAUUCCUAGUGUAGCGGUGAAAUGCGUAGAUAUUAGGAGGAACACCAGUGGCGAAGGCGGCUUACUGGACGGUAACUGACGUUGAGGCUCGAAAGCGUGGGGAGCAAACAGGAUUAGAUACCCUGGUAGUCCACGCCGUAAACG
rnacentral:rRNA from 1 species